rnacentral:rRNA from 1 species
AUUGAACGCUGGCGGCAGGCUUAACACAUGCAAGUCGAGCGGAGAUGAGGUGCUUGCACCUAUCUUAGCGGCGGACGGGUGAGUAAUGCUUAGGAAUCUGCCUAUAGUGGGGGACAACAUUCCGAAAGGAAUGCUAAUACCGCAUACGUCCUACGGGAGAAAGCAGGGGAUCUUCGGACCUUGCGCUAAUAGAUGAGCCUAUGUCGGAUUAGCUAGUUGGUGGGGUAAAGGCCUACCAAGGCGACGAGUUGUAGCUGGUCUGAGAGGAUGAUCCGGCACACUGGGACUCGGAGCCGGCCCAGACUCCUACGGGAGGCAGAAGUGGGGAAUAUUGGACAAUGGGGGGAACCCUGAUCCAGCCAUGCCGCGUGUGUGAAGAAGGCCUUAUGGUUGUAAAGCACUUUAAGCGAGGAGGAGGCUACUGAGACUAAUACUCUUGGAUAGUGGACGUUACUCGCAGAAUAAGCACCGGCUAACUCUGUGACAGCAGCCGCAGUAACAC